CUUCUUUUCAUUAGUUUGUACACUUCUUUUGAAUGACGUGCAAUUAUUGUCAGGUAGUAGCAAAAUGUGUUUCUCUUCAAAUUUAAAGGAGUGAAUCAAGCAGAUUCUCAUUCUAGAAAUACAUUUGUAGCUUAAGAAACUAUGUGCAAUAUUUAUAUAAUGCUUAUAAUCAAAGGCAAUGUAGGUUACACAAGUUGAGGCUCAUUUAAGACUAGAGUGAUGUUUAAAUGCACUCAUGAAUAUUUAUCAAGGGGGAUACUAUUUUUUGAUGAGUUAAUUUUGGUCUGUCAAUUUACUUAAAGAAAAUUUGGUAAAUGUUCAGUGAUUUGAACUUCUCAUUUAAGGGGCCGGGAUGUAAAUUGUCAGAGUAUUCAUUUAUUCAGAUUAACUAAUUAUAUGCCAAAUCCAGUGCUAUGAUUUGCUCAGACGUCCAAUGACGUCAGAAGCGAGAAAUCUUCAGUGACAAUUUUGGCCUUGUCGCUUGGAGGCGCUGUGUAAUCUGGGCAGCAAGAAUUGACACGUGUGUUGAUAAACAUAAUCACGAUAAUUCCAUAGAUUCACCGCUAUUUUGUCGUAUUUUGAUGAGCCAAUGUUGUUGAACCUUGCUACUUGCAUCUUUAUAUUGGA